rnacentral:tRNA from 1 species
GAUUAAGUGGCUGAAGUUUAGGCAAUAGAUUGUAAAUCUAUUUAUAAGAAAGGUUCAUUCUUAAUCGA